rnacentral:rRNA from 1 species
GCACAAGCGGUGGAGCAUGUGGUUUAAUUCGACGCAACGCGAAGAACCUUACCUGGGCUCGAAAUGUAGUGGACUGGGGUAGAAAUAUCCCUUCCUAGCAAUAGGUCGCUAUAUAGGUGCUGCAUGGCUGUCGUCAGCUCGUGUCGUGAGAUGUUGGGUUAAGUCCCGCAACGAGCGCAACCCUUAUCUCCAGUUGCCAUCAUUCAGUUGGGCACUCUGGCGAAACCGCCUCGGAUAACGGGGAGGAAGGUGGGGAUGACGUCAAGUCCUCAUGGCCUUUAUGUCCAGGGCUACACACGUGCUACAAUGGCCGGUAUAAACCGCUGCAAACCCGCGAGGGGGAGCUAAUCGGAAAAAGCCGGCCUCAGUUCGGAUUGCAGUCUGCAACUCGACUGCAUGAAGCUGGAAUCGCUAGUAAUCGCAGAUCAGAAUGCUGCGGUGAAUACGUUCCCGGGC